rnacentral:rRNA from 1 species
CCCUUAGACGUUCUGGGCCGCACGCGCGCUACACUGACCAGUGCAACAAGCAUCCGUCCUUGGCCGACAGGCCCGGGCAAUCUUUGAACGCUGGUCGUGAUGGGGAUAGACUUUUGCAAUUUUUGGUCUUCAACGAGGAAUUCCUAGUAAACGCAAGUCAUCAACUUGCAUUGAUUACGUCCCUGCCCUUUGUACACACCGCCCGUCGCACCUACCGAUUGAAUGGUCCGGUGAAGCCUCCGGAUUGGCGCGCACCUCGGUGCCGCCGAGAAGUUGGCUAAACCUUACCAUUUAGAGGAAGGUGAAGUCGUANCA